GAUCGGUUUAUGAAAUACUGGGAGUGGAACCCAUGCCUUGUGACUUUUUUUUUUUUUUUUUUUUGAAGGCAGGCUAUUCCUAGGUAGUAUAGUAUGGCUUUGAACUUGUGAUCCUCCUUCCUUGGCCUCUUGAGUAUUGGGAUUGCAGGCAACCCUCCAUACCUAGCUUCCUUUGUUUCUGCAUAAGUUUCUGCCCAAGAGCAUUUCUGAUGUGCUCACCAAUUAUUUCUAUUUGCAGAAGAAAUACAUAGUUGGCCAGCCACAGACCUCUCUGUCUGCAUGUUUGUUUGCUGGCUUCCCCACCCCCUCCAUCAACCCGUGUCAGCUGGCAUCUCACCAGGAUCUUGAGGCUAGCCCCAAGUGGGUCAGCUGGGGGUGGGACAGCAUCCUGUCUCAACAGUGUUAGAAGCUGCUAGAGCUUCCAAGCUGUGACCAUGCUGGGGAUGGGAGGCAAAGGCAAAUGCCAAGGCAGUGAACCAAACCCCAGGGUUUCUCCUUGGAGUUUCUGAGGAAUUAGAUGCCCCUUGUUAGUCAGACUUGACAGAAGUUUAUAGGACACAAAGCACACAGUGAGCCUCACACUAGUGGUCGUCAGAGAAGAGGCAAGGAGAAAAUUUGUGGCUUUGAGGGGCCCGUUCCGUCUGUCCCUUUACUUCAUUUAAUUAGUCUGUCCAGUCAUUUGGGGAGGGGGCCGAUCCUCUUUCUAAGAUGAGGUUACCAACACAUGGCCAUGUGAGAUGAAGUCCUUAUGGUUGCUUGAGAGAAGAGAGGAAGCUGGGACUCAAACCCAGAUGAUGUGUGCCAGGACACAGGCUCAGAUACUCGUUGUUAGGGGAAGUUGGGGCCAGAAGGGGGAACAACUGCAACCUCAAGUUAUCCCCAGAGGAGCAGCCUCACUGUGUGCAUCAGUGCGCUGCCACGUACCGAGGAGCCCAGAGCCAUGCAUGACUCGAGAUCCAGGCGUUUGGAAAACUCCCACUGAAGUGUUCUGGGACAUUCCAAGCAAAGUUUGCUUAGAAACCCAGAAUAGCAAGUCCUAACCUAAAAAGGAUAAUUAUUCAGUUACAUGAGAACUGAAAAUUAGUGAGUUAGAGCCAGGGCACGCUUUCUAACUAUUUUGGGUCCUCUGGCUAUCUCUGUGUUCUUUUAGCAGAGGCAUGUCCAACCUCUAAGGGGAAUCCUUUUAUCUCAUCCGAACUGACAGAGCAUGCACAAUUGUUACUGAAAACCUCAGCUGUCACUUCUGCCUAAACAAACGGGAUCCAGUGGGCAGCCAUCCCUGCACCACAGAUAUUUUUAGGCAUAGGUGGCUUCAAUCAAAAAUAGAAUCCUGGUCCCAGAAUAGCAGGCUACACACUCAGCCCCAGACAGCCGUAGAGUGUAAUCUGUGGUGACCUGGCUUCCAGAAUCAGGGACUCUGAACUGUUCUGGUUAUCUGAGAGAGAGAGAAGGCAUCUUCUGCCAGAGACAUUCCCAGGCUACAGAAGACAUUGUUCUGGGUGCUCUGUCAUCAAAACCAUCUCUGGGUUUGGGUCGAGAAGGAUAGUCUACACCACCAGUGCUCAGUUAACCAGUGUCAACUGCAAAUGUGGCCUUUGACUUUAAAGAACACAUUUAGUCCUUGCUGUGUUGGAUCUCAUGAUGAGAUCCAGGCUGUCUCAACUUCUUACAGCUUUUCCCACGUGUGUUUUCUAACGGAACCUUGGAUCUUUUGCUUACUCAGACCAUGCACCCCAGGGCCAGUGAGCGGGGGAGAGGGUUGUCCACUCUCUCCUUCCCUGUGUCUCAUCCGAAUUACCACUGAUGUGGGCUGAAAGAUCUGGACAGGGUGCCUGACACAAAGGCAGCUGAGGGUGGGGGAGGCCUGUGGCAAACUGGCCUAGCAAUUUAAAGAUCUCAUGAUACACUUGGGCGGAGGAAUGCCUGGAUUUGGAAAGCCUCCACUUUUGACC
rnacentral:lncRNA from 1 species